UUUUGGCGGGAUGAGUGCAUCCACUUUUCUGCCACCGAAUACAUUAGCAUGGGAUAAUGGAAUAGGACCCUGUCCUCCUAUUUUCAGUUGGUUUUGGCAGCGCGAGGACUAGGGUAAUGAUUAAUAGGGAUAGUUGGGGGCAUUAAUAUUUAAUUGUCAGAGGUGAAAUUCUUGGAUUUAUGAAAGAUUAACUUCUGCGAAAGCAUCUGCCAAGGAUGUUUUCAUUAAUCAAGAACGAAAGUUAGGGGAUCGAAGACGAUCAGAUACCGUCGUAGUCUUAACCAUAAACGAUGCCGACCAGCGAUUAGGAGACGUUGAAUACAAAACACCACCAUCGGCGCGGUCGUCCUUGGCGUCUGUCCCUUUCAACGGGGGCAGGCGCGAGGGCGGUUUAGCCCGGUGGCACCGGUGAAUGACUCCC
rnacentral:rRNA from 1 species